AUUGAACGCUAGCGGGAUGCUUUACACAUGCAAGUCGAACGAGCGGCGGACGGGUGAGUAAUGUAUGGGGACUGCCCGAUAGAGGGGGAUAACUACUGGAAACGGUAGCUAAUACCGCAUAUCAUCGGAUAACCCAUAUGGGAUUAGCUAGUAGGUGAGGUAAUGGCUCACCUAGGCGACGAUCCCUAGCUGGUCUGAGAGGAUGAUCAGCCACACUGGGACUGAGACACGGCCCAGACUCCUACGGAGGCAGCAGUGGGGAAUAUUGCACAAUGGGCGAAAGCCUGAUGCAGCCAUGCCGCGUGUAGGAAGAAGGCCUUAGGGUUGUAAAGUACUUUCAGUAGGGAGGCGUUACCGACAGAGAAAGCACCGGCUAACUACGUGCCAGCAGCCGCGGUAAUUC
rnacentral:rRNA from 1 species